UACAGAGGGGGCAAGCGUUGUCCGGAUUUACUGGGCGUACAGCGCGCGCAGGCGGUCGGCAAGGUGCCGUGUGACAACCGGGAGCUUAACUCCCGGAGGCCAGGGUAGACCGGUCGACUGGAGGCAGGGAGAGGGAGGUGGAAUACCCGGUGGAGCGGUGAAAUGCGUAGAGAUCGGGUGGAACACCAGCGGCGAAGGCGGCCUCCUGGCCCUGACCUGACGCUGAGGCGCGAGAGCGUGGGGAGCAAACCGG
rnacentral:rRNA from 2 species